GUCUAUGGCCAUGCCACCCUAAACAAGCCCGAUCCUGUCUGAUCUCGGAAACUAAGCAGGGUGGGGCCUGGUCAGUACUUGGAUAGGAGACCACCUAGGAAGACCAGGUGCUGUAGAUG
rnacentral:rRNA from 1 species